UACGAAGGGUGCAAGCGUUAAUCGGAAUUACUGGGCGUAAAGCGCGCGUAGGUGGUUUGGUAAGAUGGAUGUGAAGUCCCCGGGCUCAACCUGGGAACUGCAUCCAUAACUGCCUGACUAGAGUACGGUAGAGGGUGGUGGAAUUUCCUGUGUAGCGGUGAAAUGCGUAGAUAUAGGAAGGAACACCAGUGGCGAAGGCGACCACCUGGACUGAUACUGACACUGAGGUGCGAAAGCGUGGGGAGCAAACAGG
rnacentral:rRNA from 1 species